CAGCUGUUCCCAAAACUUACUGUGUGUUUGGUUUCGACUUCUAUAUCUACAGAUUUCUAGAAUUCAUUUGCAAAAUGACCUGUCCGGAUCUUCUGUCAUCACUACAAUAGAAGACAAGGGGAUGAGCUGAUAAGAGUCUACAUUUGCUACUUACUUCAAUAUUUACACAACGACCGAAGCUGAUUGAGCAGGAAUAAUGAGACUUUGACAUUCUGCACUGCACAAGGUAAAGGAAAACUUGUUUCCACUGGGUGGAGUUUGU
rnacentral:lncRNA from 1 species